rnacentral:lncRNA from 1 species
AUGUCAGACCCUGUUUAUUAAGGUAUAUUCUAUUUUUUGAGUAAACCUAUUUGUUAUUUUUGAGUAAGCUUAUAUUACUUUAAAUUGUUGAACCCCUAUUUAAAGUGUACCUUUAAACUAUGUUUCUAUUAAGAUCACCUCUCUGGUAUAUGCUACUGGUGAAACAAAGAGAUGGGAACAAAAAGACCCCUAUUCUAUAGGCCUUGUUUAUGUCUUAAACCCAGACCACUUCCUUUAUUCGUAGAGUACAUAAAUCAUGAAUGACCAGUGGAUACACUUACUGGUACCCCUUUGUCUUGGGGAUAGGGAAUAGUGGGGUUGUUUGCCUGGUUUGGAAGAAAGAUUGGCUUUCUCGUUGAGAGCAAGUUUAGACUUCAAGGCAGAUAGACGUGUGAUGUAACUUCCCCCAGAAGUUACUAUGUCGCAGCUUUUUAAGACCUGCCUUGAUUUUGUUUCUUAACAGAGUUCCACCAUGGUUCCACCAUGGUUCCACUUCCAUUUCCCUCGGGACAAGAGUUGGGACUGCUGUCGUUGUUCAGGCAACGCUCUCCGCCUGAUCGAUGUAUUUAGUGCUUAUUGACGAACGACUCGUGUUUUAUCAAUUGUACUUUAUAUGAACGUCUAUUCUUUUCUUCUAUUCUUUGAUGUUUUUUCUAAUGUACAGUGUAGUUUACUUUGCUCCUUUUCUAUCAUUUGUUGUAUACCUGUACAACAUAUUGUAAAGCUUUGCAUGUAGCUGUUUUUGUAAGAAUUGUUUGUUUGAAAUCGAAAUGCCAGUUGUCACACUGGGAAUUUAUUAUCGGUGUACCUUUGACACUGAAUAUUAAUAAAUACCUCUUUGGAAUUAUCAUUGGCACAAAA